rnacentral:tRNA from 1 species
GGCUUUAUAGUCAAUUGAAUGAUAUUAGAUUGCAAAUCUAAAGUUGUAUUUAUACUAAAGCUU